AAAAUGACUCUCGGCAACGGAUAUCUCGGCUCUCGCAUCGAUGAAGAACGCAGCGAAAUGCGAUACUUGGUGUGAAUUGCAGAAUCCCGCGAACCAUCGAGUCUUUGAACGCAAGUUGCGCCCAAAGCCUUCCGGCCGAGGGCACGUCUGCCUGGGUGUCACGCAACAUUGCCCCCUAACCCAU
rnacentral:rRNA from 1 species